rnacentral:lncRNA from 1 species
UUGUGAGAAUAAUGUGUUAGUUUAUUGUGACUCGAGCUGUGAGGAAAUAGUCUGCUCCCAAGGUUGAGGGGAAGUGUCACAGGAGGUGAGUGGAGGGAAGGGUAGUUUGGGGACACGGUGGGGCUGAGACUGGCAGGAGCGGAGGCCCGGGCAGAACACUGCAGGGCGUCACGAGGCAUUGAGAAAGCCCUGCCUGGUGCCCGCUGCUUGGCACAGUACCUGGCACGGAGCAGGUGCUCCAAGCGUUGUGGAGCAAAUGGACCCUGCUCGGAAGCAGAGCCAGGCAGGAGCCGGCACCGGUACAGUGAUUGGAGGUGAGAGGGCGCCGAAGAAGCACUUGACCUACUUGUUCACUUUGUUCCAGCAGGUGCUGACAGCCGAGCCAUUCCACACACCUUUGGGGCAGAGAACUGCAGGCCACCAGGGCCAACUUCAGAGCCUGGAUAUUGUUUCCAAGGCUGGAAGGGGAGACCUGGGGGGCCGCUUGCAGGUUGUGCAAGCCGCAGAUCAGCGUGCGAGCCACCCGUGACGCCCUAAGCCUGGGACCUGUCGGAGUUGCACAACCCUUAGGCAGGAGCACUUGUUCAGUGUUGCGGCACGACUCCACGUCUUUAUAAAAAACGCGAACUGUCCACCCAGCACAUACUCAGAGGACACGAAAGCUCUUUGCCACCAGGUGGUUAAGGCUGCUUGGUCGGGUGACAGCAGAGACAGGCAGGACCUACUGUAGCUCUUGGCCUGGGAGGCCGAACACUCAGUACCUUGUACCCUGCUGGCCGUGGGCAGCAAAGGCGUCUGAUAAAAUGUACUUUUUUUGUGCUCUUGUUUUUCCUGGCAGUCUCAUUUUGGGUUAUAAAUGGCUCAUUAUUUCCAUCCGAUAGAUCCACUCUUGCCGCAGUUACAUUCUCUUCUGUGCUUUCUGAAAUGAUGGAAAGGGCUGUAAAAUCAUCCCUGGCGAGCCCUGCGUGUCCUGACCUUGAACAGAGGCUGGGUUUCCACAGCGCUCACCCCAUCUACAGCUGAUUCCGUGUGCGAGAGGCUGGCUGGGAAAGGCUCCCGAAAGUGGGGGAUAUAAUUAUAUUUACACUAAAGCACUUGGUGCCACUGGAUACCAGGAAGUGGCGUGGACCUCCCUCUCCCUCCAGCCCUGCAACCUUUUCAGAGGACACUGGGCAAUCGUCAGAGGUUAUAAAGUUGGAACAGCAUUGCCCCCAGAUAGAUGCCCUCAGCUCAGUUUCUGUACAGGACAGCUUGGAGGCAAGUUUUAUUAAGUAUCAAGUAGCUGACCCACAGCAGUAUAAAUAGCGAGAGAACAUUUGACAGGCCCAGAAAUGAAUGUGGCUGAAACCCCAGGCUGACGACGUGGACUGUGUUUACUGUUCCCAGCACCUGCACGGAGAAGUCUGCCCAGCGAUGGUGCAGGAGCGGUGCCUGGCCAGAUAAACGGAGGGGCGGGGGCUCGGGCUUAGAAAAUGUGUCUCUUGCUUUUGAAAGCCAUGGAACAUGUAGUUAAACCAGGCAACGGCCUGAGGAGAGGUUGGAGGGGAUUAAGUGCAUUCGGAAGGAGAGACUGGUCCUUAUUACACUUCCCCAGGUGAGCCAGGUGAGAGCUGGGAGCACGGCUUGUAUCUGGCAGCAACUGUAAGCACUCACAAACGGUCAGAUGCGACCUCACAUUGGAAUUCUUCAAGGGAAACAUUGAAGGCAUUUUUACUCGUGUGCACUUUCCCUGCUGUCCCUUAUUUUUACUAAGUGUAUUGCCUCGUGUAAAUUGUUCUCUAGUGACACUGAUCAGGACAUAGCACUGACUUAGGAGAGACCAUCCAGCUGUCUGUUAUAACGUGUAUCUAGAAUGUCCUCUCAAAGUCUCAUGUGUUCAGAGGUAGGGGUUUUGGAAGGCAAUUAGAUCUUGGUAGCACUAACCUUAUCAAUGGAUAAAUCCAUUGCUAAUUUCAUAGCGAAUGUACUGUUAAGAGGUGGGGCUUGGUUGGAAAAGUAGGUCCUUGGGGGCAGGUCUUUGAAGGCUGUGUCCUGUGCCCAGCCCCUCUCCCUCUUUGGCUCUUCCUACAAAGUGAAUUGAACGGUUUUCCUCUACUAUACCCCUCCACCAUGAUGUUUUUUGCCUUGGAACCAGCUGACCAUGGACUGAAACCUCUGAAGCUGUGAGCCUAAGUAAUCCCUUGCUUUUUUGGGGUGUGGAUGUCAGGUAUUUUUAUCCCAGCAACAAAGUGAGCUGACCAACACACUGUCCAAGGACAGCCUCCUAUACUAGCCGCUACCCUCAGUCUUCUGCUGACACCUGGGAAGAUCAUCGUGUGAUUCGGCAAGGGGGUGGUGCCAGGCAGCAUGGUAUAAAUUGGAUGUAGAAUGAAAUUUAUUGAACAUUUUUCCUCAGACACACCAAAUUCCCCGGGUGUUCCUGGCCUUCCCUGCCACCCACAGCUCACGCAUACUUUGUACGGGAAGACUUCUUUCAAAUCUCAAUCCCAAAAAUGUCUUCAAGGGUGGCAGUAUUGCUAUUGCCUGACAGCGGCCACCUCACUGUAUUACUUCUGUGUGUUUAUUAACAGUCAGUGUUUUUUCUUUGUACCUAGAAUGAAAAUGUAAAAGGCCAUAUAGGCUGUCAGAAGCCAGGGAGACUACAGGGGCCUGACGCAAAGAGCUCUUCCCAGAGGACACUGGGAGAGGAUGGGCUGCAGCCAGUGAGCUUUCCCCAUUCAUCUCACUCCCAAAGGCUCCCCCAUCUAAGUUUUCACUCUCUGCUUCUUCUUUGGAAAAACAACUUCAGUGUGGCAAUGCACCAGGCUAAAAGACUACAUUUCCCAGCUUCCCUUGCUGUAGGGGGUGGUAAAAGAAAUCUAAGGAGAUAUUUUUGGAUGGUCAGGAUUGCCAAACAAAUACAGGGCACCAGUUAAAAUUAAAUUUCGGUAAGCAAUGAAUAAUAUGAAUAUACAUGUGAAUAUGUCUCAUGUAAUAUAUUUAUGCAUUUUUAUUUGACAAAUCUGCCAUCUCUAUGCUCAGGGCUCCCAGGAAUCAUGGUAGACAUGUCUAUCUUUUUUCUCCUUUCUCUUCUUUCCUAGGGCAUGGGUAGGGCGGCUAUGGUUUCUGCAGUCACCUUGAGUCACGAGGCUAAGGGUAACAAAAGAGAAAGCAGAGAACCUGGGUCCCUAAUGGAUGCACACUGUAUGUAUAAGAAUAAAUCACUGAUUUGCUAUAGCUACUAGCUGUGCUGCUGUGAUUUUUUAAAUCUGAUUUCUAGACCUACUAUGAUGUAGCUACAGUGAAGAAUGCGUUGUUAUUUUUUCUAUUUGCUUCAAUCCAUUUACCGUGUGUCAGUUUGCUUUUCUCUCUUUUGUAUCAUAAACCACUCUACUUUUACUGACUAUGUUUUUGAGGACCCCAAGAGAGGUGAGUAAUAUUCUCUACAUCCCUUUGAAUGGUGUCUUUAACAUGUGCUUCUACAUGGUGGUAUUGGCUAUUUUGCAGAUUGCAUUUGUAUAUUACAAGUAAUCAUUUCCAAUAAUAAUAUUUAAUGAUAAUAACAAUAAUGAUAAUAUUCCUAAACCACAAUGGUUCUUAACUGGCCUCAAAACUAAAAUCCUGUGAUAUUCUGAAACUGUAGAAUUAUACUUCCAAAAUAAUAUUGAUGGCUUCCCUGACAUUCUAUAAAGUUUAGCUAAGGAGAGUCUUGUGCCCAGGG